rnacentral:rRNA from 1 species
GGCUCAUUAUAUCAGUUGUGGUUUAUGGGCUGAUUUUAACUUGUGGAUAACUGUGGAAAACCUAGAGCUAAUACAUGCAAAUAAGUCCUUUUGCCCGAAAGGACGCAUUUAUCAGAUCAAAGCCAACGCUUCCUUGUGGAGCAAGGCAGUGAUGACUCUGGGUAGAUUAACGGAUCGCAUUGCCAUUGUGCAGGCGACUGUGGCUGCAAGUAUCUGCCCUAUCAACUUUGGCUGGUAGCCGAUGUUGCUAUCAUGGUCAUGACGGGUAACGGAGAAUCGGGGUUCGACUCCGGAGAGAGAGCAUGAGAAACGGCUGUCACAUCCAAGGAAGGCAGCAGGCGCGCAAAUUACCCAAUCCCCGAUCGGGGAGGUAGUGACGAGAAAUAGCAAUGCCGCUAUCUUUUGAUACGGCAGUUGAAAUGGGAACAAUGAAACAAUUUUAUCGAGAAUCUAUUGGAGGGCAAGUUCUGGUGCCAGCAGCCGCGGUAAUUCCAGCUCGAAGAGCGUAUAUCAAAGUUGCUGCGGUUAAAACGCUCGUAGUUGGACAUCAGGAAGAGGGCCGUGGUCGACCAAGUGUUGAUACACGGCUUUAUUCCUCAAUAUUUGCUUAUCAACCGGCGAUGCACUUUGUUGUGUGUCACGGUAGUGGGCCACUGUCACUUUGAGAAACUCAGUGCGCUCAACGCAGGCAAACUGCUUAAAUAAUGCUGCUUGGGAUGACGAAAGAGGCCCCGGCUUCGUUUCGUUGGUUUUACGAAAGCAAGGGUCCUGAUUAAUCGGGACAGACGGGGGCAUUCGUACUGCGGUGCUAGAAGUGAAAUUCUGUGACCAUCGCAAGACGAACAACUGCGAAAGCAUUUGCCAAGAAUGUUUUCAUUAAUCAAGAACGAAAGUUAGAGGAUCGAAGACGAUUAGAUACCGUCCUAGUUCUAACUGUAAACUGUGCCAACUGGGCAUUCGCCAAGAUUUUCUUGGUGAGCGCCCUCCGGGAAACCAAAGUGAUCUGGUUCCGGGGAGAGUAUGGUUGCAAAAUCGAAACUUAAAGGAAUUGACGGAGGGGCACACCAGAAGUGGAGCCUGCGGCUUAAUUUGACUCAACGCGCGAAAGCUUACUCGGUCCGAACACCGCAAGGAUUGACAGGCUGAAAGCUCUUUCUUGAUUCGGUGGGUAGCGGUGCAUGGCCGUUCGUAGUUGGUGAAGUGAUUUGUCUGGUUUAUUCCGAUAACGAACGAGACUCUAACCCGCUGAUUAGCUUGGUGACUGUAUGUCACUAUAGUGCUUCUCAGAGGGACAAGUGCUGCAUAAGCACGCGAAGUUGAGCAAUAACAGGUCUGUGAUGCCCUUCGAUGUUCGAGGCUGCACGCGCGCUACAAUGGAGGGCGCAGAAAGCACAACGCAUUCUGUAAAGAUUGCGGAAUCAUGAAUUGCCUCCAUGACUGGGAUCGAGAUUUGAAACUAUCCCUCGUUAACGAGGAAUUCCUCGUAAGCGCGAAUCAUUACUUCGCGUUGAUUAAGUCCCUGCCCUUUGUACACACCGCCCGUCGCUACUACCGAUGAAUGGUUUUGUGAGAUUUGCGGAGAGACGACAACGCUUUAACAGCGCCAGUACGUCUUGAAGCUUACCGAGC